GAUCCCCUUCCUGUUCCCCACACACGAGCGCGCGUCACCGCCACCGCCGGUCGCCCCGUCCUCGACUGGAUCUGGACCCUCCCUGCCGGGAUCCAUGUGCCCAGCCACCUGCGCCGUCCCAUGCGCCAUCGCACGCCGGAGGACCUGCGCCUUGCCUUCCUCGCCAUCGAGCACAAAGGCGCUCGAUCCAGACGACGCCACCGUUGACCGCUCCUCUGCCUCGCCGCCUUCGCCGUCCCCAUGUGUCUCCUGGACAUGGAGAGAGAGCACGGGAGGGAAGGAGGAAGGAAGAGGGAGGCGUGGCCAUGGUUGGUUCUCCGGCGGCGCUGGAUCGGUGCAUGGGCGCAGAGCUCCUGCUCGGGGCGCGGAGAUCUAGGGAGGGACUCGGGUGCGAGGCUGCGGGUCUAUGCAGAGAUGGCACUGCUCCUUCAACUUUUGAAGAAUGCGCUGAGACAUCAGCUAGAUCCGCAGGUCUUGCUCCCCAAAAUCCAUCCCUUCUCUUCUUUGGUCCAAUCUGGACUGUUAAUUCCGUCAAGAGGUGUGAGUCAUCGUUUUACUGGAUGCUCUCUCGAUCAUUUCUUCAUAUGCAUUUUGUGGGUAGCAAAAUGUUUUCUCUGUAUGGAUUUGAAAAAGGACCAAAUCUUACGAAAUACUUCUUAAAUAGGAUGUGCGAUUUUGAUAGUAUUUUCUAUGAAUUUUGGGAAAAUUUAUGUUAUAUAGCAUGCUUUAUUAAUUCUUUUAGCUCAAGAUAGCUCCCUUGGUGAUUCUUUUCAACGAAGGACUUGCUCUCCAGCAUGUGGUUUGGUAUUUCUUGACUGCAAGUAUUCAGCAGCCACAACUGAACUGAAGAUCAGCAAGUAUUUAAGCAACACAUAUGUUUGGUUUGCAUGUGUUAUAACCAGAUCAACGAAGUUUCUGCACAUCAUGAGUAAGAGGUGAAGAAAUCAUGUUUGCAAAUGGCCAUCGAUUAAACUGCAGUAUUUUCCAUGAACUGUGGUAACUCUUGCCUAGAAAAACUACAUGAGAAAAAGUCUUGCUUCAGGUGAAUUUUUGCGUUAUCAUCUUUUGUACAGGUUGAAACUAUCAAGUGUUAACUUUUGUGGUUUGUUAACAAGAUUGUUCAUCAUAUCCACUUGUGCAGGUACCAUAGCCAGAGUCACUUAUUCGGCAUGGUUUUAUACUGGAAUUAACCACAUAACUAAUUUUGUUUUACCACCUUGACGCCUUCAGUUACAUAGAACUUCUGUCAAUGCCCAACCGAUAAUGAACAAGUACAAUUUUAUAGAUGAUUCAAGUGAAGUUGUGCAAAGUGAAUCAAUUCUGCAAGAUAUCAUGCCAUACAUUUUUCCUUGGUAGCAUUAACAUGUAUAGAUCAUUUUAUUGUGUACAACAAAGUCAACAAUACAUGUUUGUAUAACCAUGGCUUUGGUCAAUUUCUGGCAUCGAGCUUCUGCGAAAAUGUGACCAGGAAAUAAUUAUGUCGUAAUUCAGUAUGGAACCUGACACUAAAUAAUACUCCCUUCGUUCACUAAUGUAAGACCUUUUAGCUUUUUCUUGAUCGAUUUCUCUUCUUCAGUUGUUGGCUGCCCGUGCAACAAUUUUUCUUGAACCAAGUACUUUGCACUAUAUUUUGCACUUUCUAAUUUUGUUCUGUGACAUGUUUUUGCAGCCUUCCAUUCAAAAUUAGAUCUGGAGGCCUUCGGAUAGCAAUAAAUUUUACCUUUGUUUGUUCAUGCUUCAUGAAUUUGUUUUCCAACUGAUUAUUUGUUGUUGCAAAUUUCAGAUUUUGACAGGUUUGGGUCCAUCUAUAACAUGCUUGACCGGGCGAUCACGUGGCUACCGAGCACUCUUAUUUUCUGGUCAUAAGCUCUUACUAAGAUGUUGUCGGUCGGGUGUCCUCUACUACUGAAGUUUUACCACGAUCUGGUGGUGCUUGAGAGCAGAGACGACAUACUUUCAUCAGCAGUGGCCAAACCCCCACCGCCGCCGGUGCUGUACACCCCUGUACCCCUUGACAUCCAGUGCCUCGCGUCUGCCCAACAUGAAAACCUCCUCAAUAGGAUAGUGCCCUUUAUGUGCAUGAACUAAUGGGUGUGUUCACAACAUAGAGCAGCUUCUCCAUCCAGUCUCAUGUCUUUCUCUUUAGCAGGGAUCAGUGAGUACUACCGAGCAAAAAAGUCCUUCUCUUCGUCAUAUUUCUUCCUUUUCCUUACUACUUUUGUGGCUCCAAAUCUCAUGAUGGCUCUAUGUCUGUUCUUUUUGUUGACAUGGAUUUUACCCUGAAAGUUUUUCUUCUGAUCUACAAUGUUCUGCCAUCUAAAUUUUUCUGUAUAUUAUGAAUGAGUAGACAGUGGUGCAGAAGCCGAAUUGGAUGAAAUUACGGACUACAGAGAGGUGUAAUUAUUAAUUAAUUCAUUUCUUUAAAAGAUAUGCAACUAGCAGAGUUUCUUACUUUUAUGAUUUGGAUUAUGACCGAAUUGAAGAACUUAUGUGGACAGCCCGGCAGGUUUCAGUGGCAAGACUUUUGUACAAUUACAGUGGCAGAUUUCAGAAAUUUGUAGAGCACAUGAUUUACAAGAACAAGAUAUUCUGUCAAGCCAUGGAUAUCAACAAUCAGUCAAGCAAAGAAAUAUUCAUGGGAGAUAUACAGGGAUCCACAAGAAUGUGCACCGUGUAGCACUACCCUUUUGUCAUUGAGCCACUAUCACAUUUUGGCCAGCAAUCAGUUCAAGCAGUUCUCGGCGCCUUUAGUCAGAAGCUAGAAUUUACAACUAAACGAACAUCAAGCAACAGAAGAAAGGGUGGCCAUCUCUUUUUCUUGGCACCAAGAUGUCAUACAAGCAUUGAGACAUCGGAAAGACAUAAGAAGUUUGUGUAUAAAUGAUUAGCCUUUUAGAAGUAUAUGGCGUUGCUUAAACUAUGUUUCUUUUGGCAACACCAUAUGAAAUGGAGAAAGUUUUAGGUUUAGGAUAAAAUUGUUCUAGAUUUUGAGAAAAUUGUUACAGAUCCAUGAGAAAAAUGUCCCAACUUUAGGAAAUUAACUAUCCAUAUUUUCGGUUA